rnacentral:rRNA from 1 species
CUAAUACUGAAGUCGAGCGGACAGAAGGGAGCUUGCUCCCGGAUGUUAGCGGCGGACGGGUGAGUAACACGUGGGUAACCUGCCUGUAAGACUGGGAUAACUCCGGGAAACCGGAGCUAAUACCGGAUAGUUCCUUGAACCGCAUGGUUCAAGGAUGAAAGACGGUUUCGGCUGUCACUUACAGAUGGACCCGCGGCGCAUUAGCUAGUUGGUGGGGUAAUGGCUCACCAAGGCGACGAUGCGUAGCCGACCUGAGAGGGUGAUCGGCCACACUGGGACUGAGACACGGCCCAGACUCCUACGGGAGGCAGCAGUAGGGAAUCUUCCGCAAUGGACGAAAGUCUGACGGAGCAACGCCGCGUGAGUGAUGAAGGUUUUCGGAUCGUAAAGCUCUGUUGUUAGGGAAGAACAAGUGCGAGAGUAACUGCUCGCACCUUGACGGUACCUAACCAGAAAGCCACGGCUAACUACGUGCCAGCAGCCGCGGUAAUACGUAGGUGGCAAGCGUUGUCCGGAAUUAUUGGGCGUAAAGGGCUCGCAGGCGGUUUCUUAAGUCUGAUGUGAAAGCCCCCGGCUCAACCGGGGAGGGUCAUUGGAAACUGGGAAACUUGAGUGCAGAAGAGGAGAGUGGAAUUCCACGUGUAGCGGUGAAAUGCGUAGAGAUGUGGAGGAACACCAGUGGCGAAGGCGACUCUCUGGUCUGUAACUGACGCUGAGGAGCGAAAGCGUGGGGAGCGAACAGGAUUAGAUACCCUGGUAGUCCACGCCGUAAACGAUGAGUGCUAAGUGUUAGGGGGUUUCCGCCCCUUAGUGCUGCAGCUAACGCAUUAAGCACUCCGCCUGGGGAGUACGGUCGCAAGACUGAAACUCAAAGGAAUUGACGGGGGCCCGCACAAGCGGUGGAGCAUGUGGUUUAAUUCGAAGCAACGCGAAGAACCUUACCAGGUCUUGACAUCCUCUGACAACCCUAGAGAUAGGGCUUUCCCUUCGGGGACAGAGUGACAGGUGGUGCAUGGUUGUCGUCAGCUCGUGUCGUGAGAUGUUGGGUUAAGUCCCGCAACGAGCGCAACCCUUGAUCUUAGUUGCCAGCAUUCAGUUGGGCACUCAGGUGACUGCCGGUGACAAACCGGA